CUGGCCCCAAAACGACCCGCAGAAGAAGAACGGUAAAGAUGGCCGCCACCCAGCAGCAACGGUAAAGAUGGCCGCCACCCAGCAGCAACGGUGGCGCUGCCUCCACAGCCUGAGCCUGAAACUGGAGGCCAGGUGUUAAUUUCCUGUGUGCCAGACCAGCUCGACGGAGUCGGAACAACAUGCUCCAGUGUUUUUACAAAAUUAAAGUCUUUUAGUCUUUGAGAAGCAGGAAGUGAUGGACUGAGUCAGGAACCUUCCAGCUGCAGCGUUUCUCCGAUGGACGGCGUCAUUAGAGCCUUCAGUGAGACGUGAGGAUGAGGAAGGAGAGACGAUCCGUCACUGAUGGCCGGCGUUCCUCAUUACUGUCCUCAUUAGACUUCAGAGCUGCUCACAGUCUCUCCGCUGUGAGAGCAUCGCAGACUGAUGGCAGCUCUGAAAGGACAAACUUUCUGUGAAACCAGGAGCUGAUCCCAGAUCUGCUGUAACUGACUGGAAGGACAGGAGACGAAGGUCUGCGUGUUUCCUCAUCAUCCUCACACUGGGAGCUCUGAAUGAGUCACACAGAAAUCUGAUAAUGUCUCAUUAGAGACUCAAGACAUGAAAGGAGCUUUGAGUCUGAGUGUGUGUGAUCGUUUGACCCGUCCCCAACCUGUUGCUGUUACCCUCGGUAACAGAUCGCCCUGACAAACGGAGUCAGAUCCUCUUUUCUACAAGAUGGAGGUCAAAGAACCGUUUCAGAGCCGAACACAGGAAAUAACAUUUGCUUACACUGGAGUGUGUGUGUGUGUGUGUGUGUGUGUUUUAUGAGGCAGGUGAAAGGAGGCCGCUCUAUGACUAACAGGAGUUAAAAGUUGAAUCUGUGUGUUUUACUGCUGUGCAAAAAAAUCUCCAUUCUCAUUUAUUACGAUUCAUUUAAAAAAACAAAACAAAUCUGCUGCCAUUUGGCCUCCAUUUAAAUUGUAACAUCGCAGGAAGUCCAGUCGGUACCAUGGUGACGGUACUGGAUCGUACGCAUGCACUUCAGGAACACCGCUGGUGGGCGGAGCCAGUGAGCCAGGCCCCGCCUCUUUACGCUACGCCAUGUCAUGCUACGCUACGAUUCUUCACCAAAUAUCUCCAAAGAUUGUCAGAAGGCUGAAAUCUGGAUGGAAAUGAAAACGUCGUCCACAGAGGAGGCCGUCAGCAGAAAGGUGGCGCUCUCUCUGGGACGCUCCGUUAAAACAAAAUGGAGGACGCAGGGAGGGAUUCACUAAGCAUGGAUUAAUAUUUAAACCUUCAUAAAUGUGAAAACCACUGCUUAAUGUCUCCCUUUGUUAUUCUGCUUUCCAAAGCAGAUCAGGAGUUCUCUGAUCGAUUGAAGCAGAAAUUACAGAGAAUCAAUUUUCAUCAAACUGAUUUUGAAUCAAAUCGUGACUCUAAAAAUCUAAUCACAGUGUGAAAGAUUCCUGAACCUACAUGACAACGUAGCAACACUGUGACUUUAACGUCCCACUUCU